rnacentral:rRNA from 1 species
GGUGAUUCAUAGUAACCGAACGGAUCGCAGUUGGCUUCGGCCCGCGAUGGAUCUUUCAAGUUUCUGACCUAUCAGCUUUCGACGGUAGGGUAUUGGCCUACCGUGGCAGUGACGGGUAACGGGGAAUUAGGGUUCGAUUCCGGAGAGGGAGCCUGAGAAACGGCUACCACAUCUAAGGAAGGCAGCAGGCGCGCAAAUUACCCAAUGAAAACAGUUUCGAGGUAGUGACGAGAAAUAACAAUACAGGGCAUUUUAUGCUCUGUAAUUGGAAUGAUGGGAAUGUAAAACCCUUCCAGAGUAACAAUUGGAGGGCAAGUCUGGUGCCAGCAGCCGCGGUAAUUCCAGCUCCAAUAGUGUAUAUUAGAGUUGUUGCAGUUAAAAAGCUCGUAGUUGGAUUUCUGUCGUGGUCAUCCGGCUCCGCCCGUAUGGGUGUGCGCCUGGUUUGCCCUCGGCUUUCUUCCGGUAGCCUUCCGCGCUUCACUGCGUGUGUUGGUGUUCCGGAACUUUUACUUUGAGAAAAAUAGAGUGUUUCAAGCAGGCUUGUCGCCCUGAAUACUUCAGCAUGGAAUAAUAAGAUAGGACCUUGGUUCUAUUUUGUUGGUUUCUAGGACCAAGG